rnacentral:tRNA from 1 species
AGUCUUGUAGUGUAGUGCACGUCAGAUUGCAAAUCUGAAGACGCAGAUUAAAUCCUGCCGGGGCUU